UUUGAAAUCCGGCCCCCGGGUCUGAGUUGUAAUUUGAAGAGGAUGCCUCGGUGCGGGCCCCGAUCGAAGUUCCUUGGAACAGGACGUCAUAGAGGGUGAGAAUCCCGUCUGUGGUCGGUGGCCCCUACCGUGUGAGGCUCCUUCGACGAGUCGAGUUGUUUGGGAAUGCAGCUCUAAAUGGGAGGUAAAUUUCUUCCAAGGCUAAAUAUCAGCCAGAGACCGAUAGCGCACAAGUAGAGUGAUCGAAAGGUGAAAAGCACUUUGAAAAGAGGGUUAAAAAGCACGUGAAAUUGUUGAAAGGGAAGCGCUUGCCACCAGAGUUGUCCGGGGGGUUCAGCCGACCUUCUGGCUCGGUGUACUUCCUCUCGGGCAGGCCCGCAUCAGUUCGGCCGGCCGGAUAAAGGCCGCGGGAAUGUAGCACCCUCGGGUGUGUUAUAGCCCGCGGUGCAAUACGGCCUGGCUGGACUGAGGUCCGCGCUUCGGCAAGGAUGCGGGCGUAAUGGUGGUCAGCGGCCCGUCUUGAAACACGGACCAAGGAGUCUAACAUCUGUGCGAGUGUUCGGGUGUCAAACCCGUGAGCGUAAUGAAAGUGAACGGAGGUGGGAGCCCUCGGGCGCACCAUCGACCGAUCCUGAUGUCCUCGGAUGGAUUUGAGUAUGAGCAUAGCUGUUGGGACCCGAAAGAUGGUGAACUAUGCGUGAAUAGGGUGAAGCCAGAGGAAACUCUGGUGGAGGCUCGCAGCGGUUCUGACGUGCAAAUCGAUCGUCAAAUUUGCGCAUAGGGGCGAAAGACUAAUCGAACCGUGAACCAGAUCCUACUA
rnacentral:rRNA from 1 species